CGCGUGAUAUUUUUCAUACGCUGGCAUACGCUAGUACGAUACGCAAUAGUGUGACAGGGCCUUAAGGCCCAUUUUCUGAAGAGUUUUGUAAAUGCGAACGGGUAUAUGGUGACUAUACAUUCUUUUGUCGCAUCUCUAUUUCAUCCAAUAUAUACUGCAUUAAAAACUGUGUAAAAUAACUAAACAACAUGUUUGGCAUUUGAAAGAUACAUACAACAAUGCUUUUGUAAUAAUUACGA